rnacentral:rRNA from 1 species
UACUAAUACCCCAUAAUAUCAUAGAAGGCACCUUUUAUGGUUGAAAAUUCCGAUGGUUAGAGAUGGGCAUGCGUUGUAUUAGCUAGUUGGUGGGGUAACGGCUCACCAAGGCGACGAUACAUAGGGGGACUGAGAGGUUAACCCCCCACACUGGUACUGAGACACGGACCAGACUCCUACGGGAGGCAGCAGUGAGGAAUAUUGGUCAAUGGACGCAAGUCUGAACCAGCCAUGCCGCGUGCAGGAUGACGGCUCUAUGAGUUGUAAACUGCUUUUGUACGAGGGUAAACGCAGAUACGUGUAUCUGUCUGAAAGUAUCGUACGAAUAAGGAUCGGCUAACUCCGUGCCAGCAGCCGCGGUAAUACGGAGGAUUCAAGCGUUAUCCGGAUUUAUUGGGUUUAAAGGGUGCGUAGGCGGUUUGAUAAGUUAGAGGUGAAAUUUCGGGGCUCAACCCUGAACGUGCCUCUAAUACUGUUGAGCUAGAGAGUAGUUGCGGUAGGCGGAAUGUAUGGUGUAGCGGUGAAAUGCUUAGAGAUCAUACAGAACACCGAUUGCGAAGGCAGCUUACCAAACUAUAUCUGACGUUGAGGCACGAAAGCGUGGGGAGCAAACAGGAUUAGAUACCCUGGUAGUCCACGCAGUAAACGAUGAUAACUCGUUG